rnacentral:lncRNA from 1 species
AAAAGGAGAAACCCAAAACUUUUCAGGUGUAGAACCCCCAAAACUUUUCUGGGGGCAGUCAAUAUCAUUGCUCACUGCUUACUUCUAUAACUUAAGGGAUGGAUAUAGGUUGCUACAUCGAUACUUCUGAUCACUUUGAUAUGUCAAGUGAUCAAAUGUAAUAAUACACAUAAAAAACCAUGAUGAAUCAUGCUGUCAAAAAGUGACAACCCACUUAUCGUUGAGGAAAGCCAAGGUCAGUGCAAGGAUCAACAUAAGAGAAUAACUUUUAUAGAACCAAAUCUAUGCAAAAUUAUUCAUCCUUCUCCAAUACCUAUACUGUCAUAGGAUGUAGAAUGUUGUAUUCUCAUUUACGUUUUUUCUUAAAUCUACCAAGGCAAUUUCCAUGAGAUUUCAUUAUUUA